rnacentral:lncRNA from 1 species
AGAUAGGAUGCGACAUAGCAGUUCAUCAGGUAAAAUACUGAUUCUAUCUGCAUUUGGCAUCCCUAGCCAGACUCGCCUCCAUCGCUUUGAGAGAAGGCUUGUGCUCGGGAUUUCCUCUGAGGGUAAAAAUGACAGAAUUUGACAUAGCAAUUCAUCGGGUAAACCACUCAUCCUAUCUUCUUCUGCCAUCAUAGUUUGAUUACUUGAUCAAAUAACAAAACAAAAAGAAUAAACUUUUGUUAGUUACCUUUGGGAUUGGGAUUGGGAUUGGGAUUCCGAUAUGCUAUGCGCAUGCGGCUAGGGUUGAAGGAAGUAGAGGAAGAAGAAGAUGAAUGAUUGACUUUGUUAUGUAUUUCUGGAUUUAUUUAUUGGCCUUUUCUCUCUUGGGCUGGGCCGGCCCGCCGGCCUAUCUUAUCUUAUUGUUUUCACAAGACAAUUGCUUUUGAAACCCUCUCUUCAACCAGAGGCAUAUUUUAUGUUUUUAAACGUUUAUUUUAUUUUGUUAAGAUAAAUGCCAGCAACCCACAUUUUAACCAAAUUUAUAUGGGAUCCACAUAAUUUGGUAGGACUUAUGUGAAUUUUAACCAAUCAAAGAGAGUGUAUUGAAAAAUGUGUGUUGCUAGCAUUUCUCAUUUUUUUUUAAUGUUAUUCUUCAAGAUAGAGAGUAAGCAUCAAAAUUUUCAGUCAUAAUUUCUUUUCCACUUGUCUCACCCAUUCGAAAAAAGAAUUGCUUCAUGAUCACUCUAUGAAAGUAUGGGUAUACUUUCUUAAACAUAAGUCAGACACAUUUGAGGAUUGUGAGAAUUGGAAAGCCAUGGGAGAAAAUGAGACAAAGUUAACGAUUAAAAAAAAACUCAAAACCAACAAUGGUUGUGAAUAUCAAAACACCAAAUUCAACAAGGUUUCCUAUGAGCAUGGGAUCAAAAUGGAAAGAAUCGUGUCAUCAUGUACGCCUCGACAAGGUAAUGUAUAUAAACUUAUGAAUUGAUCGUUAACUAAGAGAGCCAAAAGCUUCUGUGUGUAGUCAUGCUUACCGAAACAUUUCUUGGCAUAAUAAGUCAACAUAACAUCUUACUUCUCAAACAUCUUCUCUAUACUAAGUUAAGCUUUAUACAAAUUAUGUUUUCUAUUCAAUUAUCUCUACAUCUAUUAUUAUUAAGAAAUUGCACAUGUGUAAUCCCAACGUUCUAUGUUCGACACACAACCAAGAAUCGUUAUUAUAAUGGAAAGAGACGAUAGGUAAGGCGGAAACACAACAUAAUUAGAUAAUGUAUCUCUAAUGGAGCGGUUAGAGUUGAUUUUGUACGUACUAAUAAAAACUUAGGGUAUCCUUUGACGAAAUGACUAAAUAGAGAGAAAGCCUGAGAAACAUCUAGUAGGAUGGGACUAAUGUCUAUAGCUUAUUGAGUGAUGGUAACCCGACCUACAUGAAUGGAGAUCCCAAGACUUAGGUUCAACGGGUAAUAAUGAGUCAUGAAGUGAUAGAACAUGUUAUGAGAAAAAGGAUAUAGAAAGCAUGAUCUUUGCAGCUAAAGAAGGAAGAUAUAAUAGCAACUCUUAAUGAGAUCUAUACUCUAUGUUGAGUAGGGUACAUAGCUACAGGAGUACUCUUGAUAGAUUCAUCUAUACGAAUGUGGAACUGAGGUCGGUUCUAUAGAAUUUUGAGGCAGAAUUUCUAGAGCGUUCGUUAAAACUGGGAUAGACGUGCAGGGCCAUAAAUGCACGGGCUUUUAGAAUACACCUUAGAAAAGGUUGAAGUAGAUAAAAUAGUCACAAGGAAGGGGGGUUUGAAUUGUGACCCUUUAAAAAUUAUCCUGAAACUUAAAAGUGAUUCUCAAGUAGUUUACUUGGAAUAGUUAAGGUAAUAUUCUGACUUCAGAGCGUUCUGAAUAAAGUAAAUGUGUAAGUGUGUGUUGUGUAUACUGUAAUUAAAGAGUAUAGGGAAGAGAGAGAGAGAGAGAGAGAGAGAGAGAGAGAGAACACAUAAAGAUUUAUAGUGGUUCACCCAAUGUGGGUUAGUCCACUCCUCACAAUCUUGUGAAGGUUUCCACUAUGAUGUUUGAGAUAACCUCUCAAAUCCUGCACCUUACAAUCUUUGUUCACCUCAACAAUUACAACUCUGCAUUCUCUAAGCCUCAACAGUCUUGCACCUUAUUGCUAAGUUAACUAUUUAGACUUUUACAACCUUUUCUCAAACUAACAUUUUAGUACCCCUAAAGCUAGAUGUGAUUCUGUUUACAAUUUGUAAGAGGUUUAAAUGUUUGAAAAUCAAACAGAAGAGGAGGAAGAAGAAGUUAUCUUUAAGAGAGAUAACAAGAAGAGAAUUGAUUUACACUACAAAGAAGGUAAAAAGAGCCUUCAGUGAUGAUCAAUUCAAAUUGCAAGAGCUUCAAACAAUUUCAGUUGUUUUUUUGUAUGCUUUGAAAUGGUGCAAGUUUUGUUAAGGCCAUGAUCUCUAUUUAUAGAUUCUUUGGGCUCAUAUAGCCGUUGUAGGGUGUCCAAUUGUGUAAUGCCAUGUGUCCUGGGUCGCACAAGCUUUUACUUGAAAUUCUGGGCAAACAUUAUGAUCUCUAAUGAACAUUAGAAUGUUGUUGUGUUCAUGAUGAUCUUCAUCUGGGUUCAUCAUGUAUGAAUGAACACAUGAAGUUAUGGGCAUGUCAUAUGCUUUUCAUAUGAGUUUCUGGGCAAUAACCAAAGUAUGGGUUUUUCCACAUACAUCAGAAAGUUACUUUCCCAGAUUUGCCUUGGGACUGGUGCAGGAGAGAUAAAGUGGAUUAUGCAUCUUCAUGUCAAUGCUUUGAGGGAUUGUGUGGUCCUUGUACUGUACCAACUAUCAUGCGUGUCUAUCUCUUGUUGAACAAGAUAGAUUUGCUUUGCUUUUGCUUUUUGCUUUUCACCCACUGUACUGUUCAUAAAGUAAGCAUGUGCUGAGCUGAACAUUCUGACCAUCAGAAUGUUCCAUCUAUUUCACUUAGGAUAAUUUGUUAGACUACCAUUUGAUGUAAUCAAAUCCUUAUAGUGGAAUUCAAUGAACUAAGUGGAGAGCUACCAAUGGAGCUAGGAAAGCUUCAAAAUCUUCUUGCUGUGAAUAUAUCACAUAACAGCCUCACAGGAAAGCUUCUAAUUGGUAGCAUAUUUCAAAACUUGGACAAAAGUUCUUUGGAAGGAAACUAUGGUCUUUGUUCGCCCUUGUUGACAGGUCCAUGCAAAAUGAAUGUACCAAAACCUCUAGUACUUGAUCCACAUGGCUAUAACGAUCAAAUGGAUCCUCGAAUCCCAAGAAAUGAAUCAUCUGAGUCUAGUAGUCCAAUUCAUCACCACAGGUUCCUUAGUAUUUCAGCUAUUAUAGCGAUUUCAGCUUCUAUUGUCAUUGUAAUAGGAGUGAUUGCUAUUAGUCUGGUAAAUGCUUCUGUAAGGAGAAAGCUAGCAUUUGUGGAAAAUGCUUUGGAAAGCAUGUGUUCAAGCUCUUCUAGAUAGGAUCACCAGCCAGAGGUAAACACAUUCUUUUUUACUAGUAUAAUGACCCGUGCUAACACGGGGAAAUAAAAAACUUUUUUAAUCAAAUGUAUAGAUUUUAAAUUCGAUAUGAAAAAAAUAUCAUCUUAAUUUUGUAUAUAUUUUGAAAUAUCUAAACAUUUCAUAUAACGAUAAAAAUAUUUGGAUUAUUAUACUUGUACUAAUUAUUUGUAGUAUAAGAUGCAUUCAUUGUUAAAAUUAGCAUAUGUAAUUUUCUUGCAAAAAUACGCCGACGUACUGUGUAAUAAUAUUUGUUGGCAAAAUGUAUUUUAUUAAUCAUAAAAACUAAAAAAUAUGUAUUUUUUUUAUAUAAUAGUCAUUGUCACAUGCAUACACGUAGUAGGUAAAUGCAAACGUUUAAUUUUUUUUACGGGUGUGUAUAAAUAUAGUUUGGGCUACAGAAACGCCGAUUGUUAUUUGUUUUUAAUUUUUACAAAACAAAUGGUCUAAUGUAAAUAUUGUAUUUUAGGGUAACAACGAUGUAAACAAAAUAAAAAAAUAAAAAAAAAGGUUUCACGGAUUGUUAAACCUGAAAAGUGCAUGAAUUAAUAGUCAAUGACAGGAGGAUCUACUUAUAUAGAAAUUGCAUGUCUAUAAUGACCAGUACGCCUUACAAAGAAAUUAAAAAUAAAACGACUUCCAAACAAUAGGCAACUUUAGUUUUAUAAAUUAUAGCAACAACAAUUCUAAAACAUAACCAAUGAUCAUACUUUUUGAAAAACUUCACGAUACACAACAUUUGUGGUCUCCUUACAAACAUUAUUAUCUUCAUCCAUGAUGAGCAGCUUCAGACCUUUUCUUGAAGUUACUUGAGAGACAGCGACAUAAAGUUGUCCAUGCGUGAGCACAGGCUUAGGAAGAUAACCCCCACUCGAGAUAAAGAUUGACCCUGACUUUUAUUUAUUGUCAUUGCAAAACAAAGCGUCAGUGGAAAUUGCCUGCGCCUGAAUUUGAACGGUAGUUCUGGAUCACUCGGAAUAAGAUUCAUCCUGGGAAUGAAUACUCUAGUACCUGCCCUUUUUCAUGUAAUUACGGUAGCAGCUAUCGUGCUCUUCCCUAGACGUGUAAUUGUCAGCCUAGUACCAUUACACAGUCCAUUGCCUUGAUCGAUGUUUCUCAUCAGCAUAACCGGACAUCCCACCUUUAGUUUCAACCUGUGAUUUGGAAUUCCAAAGCUCUUAAUACCAUUAAGAAAUUCUGGUGUGAACCACUCGCUUUGGACAUCAGAAUUUUCACCCGAUCUAAAAAUAGAAUCAGAGGUUAAAUACUCUUUCUCUUCACCUGGAAUCAGCGACAUCAUAAAUUCGUUAACAUGCUCAACUGAAUCAAGCGUUGGUGCGAGUAUUCCCCUUUCUUGGAAAAGUAGUUGGUCACCAAGGUUAUCAUUCAGAUCGGGAUACACAAAGUCUAUAAGUGACAUCAACGGAUUUGUUGUGUCUGAUAUCAGCGAAUCUUCAGGAAUUUCUACCUUCAUUUCACCAUUGUCACCCGAAGCAUCGUUGCCGUCUCCAAUUGAGAGUAUCCACUUGCAAAAAUUAGCAAUUUCUUCUUGCUCUGCAGGUACCGAAGAUGCACCCAAUCUCAUAUUAACAGUAAGCCUCAACACAUUACAAUAAGCCUAUAUCUUUGACGAAUUGACCGAGGCAUCAACAAUAUCCGGCCUCGUUCCUCCUCGGACAACAGGCAAUAUCUGCCUAAAAUCACCACCUAAAACUACUGUCAUUCCACCAAAAGGUUUAAGUGCGUUUAAGGGAUCAUUCUUGAACAUGAUAUCACGUAAUGAUCGGUCAACUACCUCAAAACACCAUUGGUGCAUCAUUGGAGCCUCACCCCAAAUUAUCAACUUUGCAGCAUGCAUUAGGUCUGCCCUAGGACUAUCCUUUUCCAUCGUAAGCGAUGACGCCUCAUUAAUCUCAAUAGGGACUGUCGGCGUGGAGUGUGCGGUUCUUCCACCUGGUAAUAGAAGAGCCGUUAUACCGUUUGAUGCAACAUUCAAUACAAUUAACCCCUUCGAUCUAACAACAGCCGACAAUCUUUUCCAUAUAAAGGUUUUUCCAGUACCGCCGUAACCAUAUAAGAAAAAGAAACCACUAUCGUCAGAACCAACAGACUCCAUGAUCUUGUCAUGCACACAUCUUUGUUCAUCUGUCAGCAUCAGUAACAUAUCAGCGUGUGUCUUUUCCAAUUCAACUUUGCUGUAAUUUAGCUCAUCAAUGAUAAGUCUGUUUGUGAAAGUUGGCAUGUCUGCCGCGUUUGGCCUAGGCAUAGAUUUGAAGUCAGUAAGCGACGUCCGUUUUCCUGAAGCAACAUUUCAAUUUCAAUCAAACACAUGUUCUUCAAGUCAUCGCCACUGAUACGCAUAUCUACAUAUUAAAUGUAAAGUCACGAAAUUAAUAUGAACACCUAAAGAAAAAUGAUAGUAAAAGAAUAUAUGCAAUGCAACAGAAAAAAUGAUAUUAAAGUCACGACUCAAUUCUUAAUCGAAAAAGCUUAUUUCAGCUUAACUCAAACUAAAAAAAUAAGUUUAUUUGUAAAGGAUUUCCCAAGCCAUUAUUUAUUUAAAGCGAAAAUAAAUAGAUAUAGGAACUGCUAUAAAAUGAUGUCAUGAAUGCUCACUAAUCUAGAUAACGUGAAAAAGUAAUCAAUUAAAAAACAGAAAAUGUGAACAAAUUAAUCAAGAUAUACAUGGUGGAAAGCUAUAUAUGACAGUUUUGUGGCGUUGACAGUAGAUAAAUAUAUUUAUUUAAUAGUGUAUAAUCAAAUUAAUAGUGUAUUUGUUUUUUUUUUUUUUGAAAGAAUAUUGUAUUUGUUUAUUAUCACUACUUAAAUAGAUAAAUAUAUUUAUUGAGAUAGGCAUACAAUACUUUGAACAGGACUAUGUUAACCAAUUUUCUAAAAUGUGCCUUUUUAGACAGAGAAAAAAAAUGCAAAAAUUAGAUCGUAAACAAAACAAAAAAUGGUGCAUAGAUUUAGUAAUAAGUACAAUAAACAUUACCCAAAAUAUUCAGACGCUUCCUACGUUCAAAUAAGAUAUCAUUGGACAGUAACUGCCAUGCCGCAUCCCAUACUAUAUCAGGGCUCGUCAUUGUCCUAAUGGUUAAGAGAUGCACAAACAACCAACACAAUUGAUGGCCCGAACCUAACUCACCAUUUUCCGUAAUACCAUCUAUAAACUCUGUCGUCAUCAAGUAAUCCUAAAGCAGAGCGUGCUUCCUGGAACGUGUCAUAGGUAUGUCCAUUAAUCGUUUUUCAUCUAUAUCUCAUGCAGCCCUUCUUAACAGUCAAUAGUAUCCUCAUGUAGUACAACUCAACGAUCAAUAGUAUCCUCAUGUAGUACAACUCCCAUAUACCAGGCGGCGUGUAAUGAAGCCUUCCAAUUUGAUAUCCUAGUUUACGUGGCUGCCACUGUUUGUCCUUCUUCUCAUAAGUAAAUCUUGUUAGAAAUUCAGCAUAUGUUAGAUCGCGAUCGCCUACAUACUGACGAUUUGCUUCAAACCACACGAGAAACAUGGUCUAUGCUUCCUUGUUAUACAUCACCACGUCCUCGAUGUCUCUUUUGCUGCUUUGUUAAUCUCAUAUGUCAUCUUGUUUCACAUAUCAUUUUCGCUUCUAUGUAGUUUUGCACAACCUUCCUUUAAAAUCUUUUGUAAGAAAACACUAUAUUUUUCAUCCUUUAAAUUCCACCACUUGAUCCUUGUAUCCCAAUCACGACAUCUCAUCUUUGGUCUUCUCUUAACCCUUACAUCCAUAACCAAUAUUAUAUGUUGGAUAAUCAAACUCUCUCCAAGUAAAUCUUUAAGUCCAAACAAAUAUUUAUGUCAGAAUUCCCAAUAAGAAAUAAAUCUAUCUGAGAACAUGAUAUCUCACUCUUGUAUGUAAUAAUAUUCCCUUUUCUUUUCCUAAAGUAAGAUUAAAAGACAACAAAAAAUCUAGGAUGGAUUUACCGAAUGCUUUUUUCUUCCCAAGGCUAUACCCUCAUUCACGCCUUCAAAAGUUAUGAAGCACUCCUUACAUGCUCAUUUAGAUCCCCUCCUAGAAAAAUAUUCUUAUUGUGGUAUAUCUUUAAUUAAGCCUUUCAAAUCCUUCCAAAAUUUUACUUUAGGGUAUUCUUUCAAACCUAUCCAAUGUGAGUAAACACUAAUAACAUUAAAGAUGUCUUAUUUCCUUUCAAAAAAAUAAAUUAAAGAUGUCUUAUGAAACUACAAAUUUGUGGGCUACAAUCCAAUCUCCUGUCCUCUUUACAUUCAAAAUAUCUUUUUUCCAUUCCUUAUCCUCAAUAAUGGCUACACCAUUUCUCGAUCUAACUAUUCCAGUUUACCAAUGCUUAAAUACUGAACUAUCUAAUUCUUUCGCAUUUUCACCCACCCACUUAGUUUCUUGUUGGCACAUAAAUUAAUCUUCCUCCAACUCAUAACGUCAAUCAUUUUCAUAUAUGUUCAAGUAAGGGUGCCUUUUUCCAUGUUCAAAAACAUAUCCUACUAUCAUGAACUAACUUCUUUACCCACACUUGUUCACAAAGAUGUGGGACCCUUGCUUAUUUUUUUACUUCAUUCAGGCAUCGGUGUAUCCACCUUUUCUCAUUUAACAUUGUACUUGAGCUAUACAACCCGUUUCUUCUAGGCACUAUCCUAAUGUUCACACUAUUAUAUACUUGGUCCAUGCCAUAGAGAUUCAAAGUGUUUCAAUUAAUUCAAGUGAUCAAAUUUUAAACAGUAAAAUAUAGUCCAAGUCUUGAGUUUUUUAUAAUAUAUAAUUUCAUUUAAUUAAAGGGUUUUUAUAUCAUGUGCAAAUUUGCACAUGUUAAGAAGUUUAAAGUACUAUGUUUGAUUUGGAACUUGUGUAUUUUCUAUUAAUAUAUAAAUUUUUAAUAAAUAAUUGUUGUUUUCCAAUAAAUAGUUGCCGCUUUUAGUUACUUUAACAUAUGCAAUUUUGCAAAUGUUAGACAAACCCUUUAAUUAUAUAUAUAUAUAUAUAUAUAUAUAUAUAUAUAUAUAUAUAUAUAGAGGAUGUAUCAUAUGAGAAUGGUAUGUAUAUGUGAGAAUGAUGAGAAUGAAUGUGAGUCAUCAGAUUAAAAACAAAUGGUUAACAUUAAAAAACUUAACAUGUGCCAAACUCCCACUACUCUCACGCGUUCAUUGUUCUUCAUCUGCAUUCCAACCAGAUUCUUCCUCUUCCUCUCCCACAGACCACAACACAUCAGCUUCCUUUUCCGGUGCUCAAACGUUGUUCCCAACAAAAGGGUCGUCGGAACCAGCCAAGCUUUCCAACAACCACGAGGUUAUCGUUCGCAAAACCCCCAGACCCCACCACCACAAGGAUCGCUCCCCUUUCCCAGAUCCGUUGUAUUUACAGUGAGCCAUAGUCACCGGCGCCGAGUGCCGGCAGGUCGUUAGUGUGCCAAUAAUUGAUUGCGGAUUAUUGUUUGUGUUAAUUUGAAUUGAAAAAAAAAUAUUGUUAAGGGGUUAGAAAAAAAAUUGAUAAGAGGUCUCGUAAUUUUUUUACGAUAAUUGCCAAAACAAAUCCAUUAAUGAAAUUUUUUGGAAGGAUUCAAACUUUUGAUUUAUUUUCAACUAUAGUUUACCUUUAUUCAUAACUCAUGAAACUUCAAGGCCUCAUGAAUUUUCUUAAUAAAAUGAAAUAGAAUAUUGUUGGUGAUUCAUCAGAGAUAACUUAAUGUUGGGUGCUAAAGCAUAGAGAGUUGGGUGGCCGACAAUGGUGGUGUGUGGCUAGAAGAAGAAGAUGAGAAUGAUAGGAUCAAGUGAGAAUGCGUGAAAGGAGUUUGUGAGUUUGGCACAUGUUAAGUUGUUUUAAUCUUAACCCUUUGUUUUGAAUCUGAUGUUUCUCAUUCAUUCUCACAUAUACAUACCAUUCUCAUAAGAUAGCCCUGAUUGGAGCAUGUCAAAGUUUCAACAAAUUAUUUAUAAUUAAUACAAUUAAAGUAUGUGUUUUAUUUUUAAAGAACAAAAUAGAAUUUUUUUUUUAUAUGCUUAUUUAAAGAUUAUUCAGAGGUACUUCCUAACAAUUUUUUAUAUCGUAUUCACGACUAAUAACAAUCAUUUGAACUAUUUUAUUUCUCCCAAUUAGUCUUUGGAAGUAAGUGUCGUGAAACAGAGAGAAAAAUAGAUAGCCUAUUUAGAAGGUUUGUACCAAAUUAAUUUCAUUCAAAAUAUUACAAACUACUAUGUUUUAGUUUUCUUAAUAAGUGUGUUUUUUUUUUUUUGCUUAUAAGAUGAGACGGAGGGAGUAUAUAGAUUUCAAGCACAUCGCCGUGAAUGCUAAAAUAUUUAUUUACUUUGCUCUUAAAAACUUAAUAUGAUGAAAUUGAUUUAUAAAAUUAACAUGAAUCAUUCUUAUAUUAUAGAUAGAUGAUCACUUGUUUUACAAAUGUAGCUUUGUUGUAAGGAUUUGGGACAAUAAUUUUAAAUGGAAAGGAACAGUGGUGAUUUUACCCGGCAAUAUUUUUUCACUCCUUGACUAUUUUCCAUCAUCUUUUGAAGAAGAAAAAAAUCCAAUCAAAUAUAAUGCAAUAUAAUUUGGAUCAAUAUUUACAUAUCCAAAAUAAAGUAAAAGAAAACUCUUUUAAUGUUAAUAAUAUAAAGGAACAAUAGAUUAAUAGGUUUGAUAAAAAAAAAUAGAUUAAACUAAUAAGUAUUAUUAAAAAAAGUUGGAAACCCUUUUCAUUUCAUUUUAUCACAAGUUGAUAAAAUUUGACACACACACACUCAUGAGAGUAAGCUGAAGUAUCACAAAAAAUUAAAAUUAGAAACUAAUAGAUUAACGUAAUAAAUUUGUAAAAGUUUAGUAUAGAGGUAAAAAGACAUAUCUUAAAUAUUAAAGACAUAUAACCAAAUUAAAUCAACUUGGAUAAAAUGAAAUUGACUGCUUUUCCAAAAAAGGUUAAUAUAAUUAUUUUUAAAAUGUCUUUAGGUUUAAAUUUUUUAAAAAAGAUCAAAGUAUUUUUAUUCAUAAAUAUUUCAUUAUUUUUUUAUGAAAAAGUUAGUAAACAAAUUAAUCAAUUUAUUCAUAAAAAAUUAAAUACAUUAUACAUAACAAUUAUUAUUAAAAUUUGUCAUUAAUGAUAAUCUUUUCAUUAAAGCUAAUUAUUAUUUGAAAUCUGAUAAUAAAAUGACUUAUUUGAAGAUAUCAUUAUUCAUUAAGGAAAAUAUUCUCAUAAAAAUUAAUGUUUAUUCAAAAUAUUACAAUUUGAUGACUUGUUUAGGAAGUUUGUAUCACGUUAAUAUUUUUUUUUUUGUUACAAAGGGAAAUAUCGCAUUAAUAUAUUUUAUUAAAUAAUUAUAUUUUUAUUUUUACUUUUUUACUUGUAUUUCUUUGAUUGGUUGUAUAUAACUCUUUUUUUAAAAAUAUAUUGGUUGUAUAUAACUAUUAAUUAUUAUGUGAGAGUUCACCUUAGAAUUUCUUACGUGAAAAGUGUUACCGAGGGUGUUGAUAAAAACUCGUGAAAAAUAAUCUAAAUUCAUGCACAUGUAUUAAUAUACUUGUAUUAUUCAUGUAAUAUACUUGUAUUAUUCAUGUACAUGUGAUAUACAAUAAAUUAAUAAUUACAAAUCAUGAAGAAAAAUGGGCAUUCACGACACGCAACACUAAAAUUUCCAAUAUAAUAAAUACAAUCUUCAAUUUCUUUGUCAUUCUUGUAUUUGAAAAAAAAAAAAUUAAAGAAAUAGUGCACUAUUUCUUAAUACACUAAAUUCAAACGCCUCAUUAUCAAUGUCUUUUGCAAUGCUCCAUCAUAUGACUCUUCUUCCUCAUAAACGACUUUUUGUGCGUCACAAUUUCGAAUCACUUUGUCUCCCUGUCUAAACUAAAAAACAAUAAAAGAUAUAAAAAUAAAAGCUUUAUGUAAUCUAAAUUAAAAAUGAAAACGACAAUAUAUGUUAAUGAGAAUGAGAGAUUAACAUUUUUCAAUCACAUAUAAACCAAAGUCUAAAAACAAAAACAAUGAAAAUUGAAAUGAUUAUUCAAAUAGGAGUCAUAGAAAAUAAUAUGAAAAUAAGAAAACAAAGAACAAUUCAACAAAAAAUUUGAGUUUAUAGAGACUUUCAGAAAAUUUGUGUUGCAUUUUCCAUGUGAUGUAAAACUUGUGAGUAUCGUAAACAAUAUUUAUAGGAAAAAUCAUCAAAGUAAUCACAAUAAUCACUCCCUUGAUUUCUUCAAAAAAAAAAAAAAUCACUCCCUUGAUUUACGGAUAAAAUAAAUGUGAAAAAUAUCCAUUAAUUUUCAAAAAGUCACACAUUUGAAAUCAGAAACAAAAUCAUAUUAUGUUAAUCAUAUUAGUGCAUUUUAAUGAUUUUUUUAUUAUUCCUUUAUUUGUUUGAAAGUCAACAAAGUUAAUUAUGGUAUAUUUUUGUUCUUCCAAAAAUUUGAAUAUUUUUAAUUUAAUAAUUUUUUGUGGUAAUUUUCUUUGGCUAAUGAGGAAUUACAUGAAUAUAUAUUUUUCGUAACAUUAAUAAUAAAUAUAUGCUAGUACUAUUUGUUUUUAAGGAAUAAUAUAUGUUAGUACUAUUUGUAAUCCAACAAAUUAAAAAACAAUUUAUUAAUCUUCUCAUUAAUAAUAUAUUAAUUAGUACUAUUUUCUUUCUUUGCAAAAUUCUAAUAUAUUAGUAUUAUUUUAUGAAAUCCAAUAAUUUAUAGACGUCAUUCAUAAUGAAAACAAUAAUAAUAUUACUACUAUUAUCUCGAUAGUUAAUUAUUAUAUUAUUAAAAAAAAUAUAUGCACAAUAUUAGGCCUAUUCUUUUUAUUUUUGAAGAGAUAAUAGGCCUAUUCUAAAAAGUAGUAUAUAGAAUCAUGCAUAUUGGUGUACAAAUUUAAUUUGAAACUACAAUUCCUAUUCUGGUUACUAUCAUAAUAACGUUUUUAUCUAAAAAAUAAUAAUCAUAAUAAUGUUUUUUUAGGAAUAUUAAUAUUGCAAUUUAUUCAUAAUAUCAAAAUCAAAAAUAUAAAUGGUUAUAAAAAUUAAUUUGGGAUAGCAUUAAAUAUGAAAUGCAUGAGAGAAGAGUGCCACAUAUUGAGACUUGGAGCAAAUGCAAAUGCUUGAGGAAGAGUGCCACGUGUCAACACCAAGAGAAGAAAAAAUUACUUCCAUAUUAGGACUUGAAAUAGGUCCUAAAUUUAUAUUAUAUAGAUUCUCAAUCCACACUGGAUUGGAUCAGCAAUCCAGAAAACUUGCUCAACAAGGCAUCUGAAAUCGGUGAAGGAGUGUUUGGAACAGUUUUCAAAGUUCCAUUGGGAUCACAACAAGGAAGAAAUGUUGCAAUCAAGAAACUUAUCACAUCAAACAUUCUUCAAUAUCCAGAAGACUUCGACAGGGAAGUUAGAAUUAUAGGAAACGCCAGACAUCCAAAUUUGAUUGCGUUGAAAGGAUACUAUUGGACUCCUCAACUACAGCUUUUAGCAUCUGAAUUUGCACCAAAUGGUAACUUGCAAUCCAAGUUACAUGAAAAGCUUCCUUCAAGUCCACCACUUUCUUGGCCAAAUAGAUUCAAGAUUUUACUUGGAACAGCAAAGGGACUUGCACAUUUGCAUCAUUCAUUCAGGCCACCAAUAAUUCACUGCAACAUAAAACCAAGCAACAUCUUACUUGAUGAAAACUUCAACGCUAAGAUAUCAGAUUUCGGAUUAGCUAGGCUAUUAUCAAAGCUAGACAAGCAUGUGAUGAGUAACAGGUUUCAAAGUGCAUUAGGCUAUGUAGCACCUGAACUAGCUUGUCAGAGCUUAAGGGUCAAUGAGAAAUGUGAUGUGUAUGGCUUUGGCGCAUCAACCAAUGAUAUAUAUUACACCAAUAUGUUUCAACUAUUAAAACCCUAAGGACAAUAGAUCAUGCAGGUGUUUUCCUUGAGGCAGUUGGUGAACCAAUAAAAUGCAUAGUUACCAUGCUGACAGAUGGUACAAUAUGGAAAUCCCGGAAAUAGCCUUCUUCAAGAGUUGAAUAGAGAUGAAGAAAUUCAAGAAAAUUUUGGUAUUGAUGAUGAUUUUGACACUGAUGAUAGGCAAGCAUGGAUCAAUGCCACACGGUAUAUUUAUACAAUGGUUUUUCAUUCGCAUUGCCACAUUGUGUUAAAUUGAUGUUUCUUCUAAAUGGGAUUUUCCAAGCAGAUGGCAACCUGAUCCUGUGGAAGCCGAUCCAUCGAAGGGAAGCAGACACCAAAGGAAGGUUGACGUGCUUGGGAUGAUUGUUGGCAUAAUUGGUUCGACAGAUCACUUAGUUCUCGAUUAUUAAACUAUGCUUGUUGAGAAGCUUUUAAAUAAAUCUUAUUAUGAUAUUGACUCAGAGGUUAAUUAUCUGAUUCUUUUUAUAGCUGCAGAUGGUUUGCAUUGCUGAUCCCCCUUAUGACAAGUCACUCCAACAACCACAAAGCAUUUUAUCUAGUCUAGUCUCUGAGGAGAAGUUAGAACUUCGGUAUGGAUUGUACAGUCUUAAGUAGUGAGCUAAUGGAACUAAAAUAAUCCUUUUGGCCAUAGUUUUAAGCAAAAAGGAUACAUAUGUUCUUCAGAACCUGAAUAUCUUGAAAGUCUCAUUUUUGUUUGUUUGUAUAGUCCUUAACCGAUUCCACAAAUUUCAAUCAUCGCAUCCGUGAUGACUAUCCUUGUCUUCAUUGAUUAUUGUUAUCAUACUUUUGGACUUAAAUAAACAGAUUAUGAUCUGAAAAUUUGUUGAUAAACAGCAACUUCUGCUCCCUUUUGGGCUUAAGAUAUGAUUCCUUAUUCUUUUUGCAGAUUGGAUCAGCAAUCCAGAAAACUCGCUAAACAAGGCAUCUGAAAUUGGUGAAGGAGUGUUUCGAACAAUUUUCAAAGUUCCGUUAGGAUCACAACAAGGAAGAAAUGUUGCAAUCAAGAAACUUAUCACAUCAAACAUACUUCAAUAUCUAGAAGACUUCGACAGGGAAGUUAGAAUUCUAGGCAACGCCAGACAUCCAAAUUUGAUAGCGUCGAAAGGAUACUAUUGGAAUCCUCAACUACAGCUUUUAGCAUCUGAAUUUGCACCAAAUAGUAACUUGCAAUCCAAGUUACAUGAAAAUCUUCCUUCAAGUCCACCACUUUCUUGGCCUAAUAGAUUCAAGAUUUUACUUGGAACAGCAAAGGGACUUGCACAUUUGCAUCAUUCAUUCAGACCACCAAUCAUUCACUACAACAUAAAACCAAGCAACAUCUUACUUGACGAAAACUUCAACGCAAAGAUAUCAGAUUUCGGGUUAGCUAGGCUAUUAACAAAGCUAGACAAGCAUGUGAUGAGUAACAGGUUUCAAAGUGCUUUAGGUUAUGUAGCACCAGAACUAGCCUGUCAAAUCUUAAGGGUCAAUGAGAAAUGUGAUGUGUAUGGUUUUGGUGUGAUGAUACUUGAAAUAGUGACAGGUAAGAGGCCGGUGGAGUAUGGUGAAGAUAAUGUGUUGAUAUUGAAUGAUCAUGUGAGGGUUUUGCUUGAACAUGGUAAUGCUUUGGAGUGUGUUGAUCCAAGUUUGAUGAGCGAAUAUCCCGAGGAUGAGGUUUUACCUGUUUUGAAGCUGGCUAUGGUCUGUACAUCUCAAAUUCCAUCUAGUAGGCCUACUAUGGCAGAAGUUGUGCAAAUAUUGCAGGUCAUUAAAACUUCUGUUCCUCAAAGGAUGGAAGUAUUUUGAUGACACUAAUACGCAUAUAUGUUUAGCUAUUUUCAGUGGUUUUAAACUGCGGUCACAAUUACACAUUGAACCUUUGUACUUCUGAGAAACACAGUAGAUUCAACCACAAUUGUAGUUUUGUUGUCAUUGCAGUUAUCUUAAAAACUGUUACUUGUGGCUUCGAGUACAUAAAGUAUUCUGUAUUAUCAAGAUUAUUGCAUUUUUCUAUUUUGUUUCCUUCAUAUUGUGUAUCCUUUUUAACUAUAAUUCAGUUUAUGUGGAUUCUAGUUCAUUGCGUAUAAAUAUGUAAUUAUCAACUCCAAGUUUCCCUUUUAUCAAUAACAUCAAUUUAUUAAUGAGUGUAUUUAUUCCUAGUUAGGAGAGGUAUCCACAUCCAAUGUGCCUCGAAAAGGAAUACCUCAAACUAGUAAUUUGUUAAAAAAAAAAGGUAAGACAUAACUUUUUCAUGAUAUAAAUAAACAAGAGUAUUGUAAACAAAACAAAAUUUGGGUGCAGGACUAACUAAAACGGACAAUCUUCAUAGUUGUGUUCUAGGUCGCAGUUUGCGGGUAAGAUCGAGUUAGUGACUAAAGAAUGAGUACAAUGUAAAACAAACUUUGAGAGAGGUGGAAUCUUUCUACAAAGUUUUUAAUCCUAUAUAAAAUAAAAUUCAAUUGACGGUAACUUUAAUAGUUGCUUAGCUUACUUCAAUGGGGCCAAAUAUAUUAUGGUUUUAUAGUUCGUAUGAAAAAUGUCCUACAUGUAUGUUGAACAUCAUUGUCAGAUUGCAAUUUUUGAAUUUUUCUUUAAGUUUUGAGCUCAGCAUUUUGAUGUCUCUGAAUGUUGAGACUCGAAAUAAUUCUACCUCUUAUUAUUAUGAUUUAUAACCUUUCUAAUUCUAACAUCAUAUAAUUCUUUGCAACUUGAGAAAGUAUCAACAUAUUAUCUCAAAACAUGUUAUGUAAAGUUCUGCUAAAAAUGCCUCUAGGAAUGAUCAGCAUUUUACAAAUCCCAUAACCACCAAGAUGGUAUGUUAGAAUGAAGCUUCGUGGUGAUUGCUUGGUACUCCUUUUCAAGAGUCAGUUCAACCUCCAAUAUAAUUAGAGUGAUAGUAAUAAAAAUAAGGAGUAAUAUGGUGAAUCUAAAUAAUGAAAAAAGAAUCUAGUGUCCCAAAAAUAGCCAAUAUGUUAUGUGUUAAAAGUUAUAAGUCUCGCAUAGAAUAAUUUUAUGAGCUUAUCACAUCAAACAUACUUCAAUUUCUAGAAGUCUUUGACACUGAAGUUAGAAUUCCAGGCAAAGCCAAACACCAAAGUUUGACAGCAUUGAAAGAUUACUAUUGGACGCCACAACUACAACUUUUAGUAUUUGAAUUUGCUCCAAAUGGUAACUUGCAAUCCAAGUUACAUGAAAAGCUUCCUUCAAAUCCUUCACUUUCUUGCACACCAAACAAUAAUUUACUACAACAAUUGCGGUUGUGUUGCCAUCAGGGGCGGUUUCACCGCCCGGCGACCCCGAGCGGUCGCCCGGGCUCGAUCGACGAUUUUUCUACAUUACACCCAACCCAAAAGCCAAUUAACACACAUACAAAAAUAAAAAUUUGGACAAUCUAAAAAUUCUCACACGCAAAUAGGUCACGGAAUUUUAUUUAGCACACUAUUGACGGGUUCAUCUCUCUUAUUUUAACGGGUUAAUUGUUCAAAUUGAUCCUGUAAUAUACAUAAUGUCUGAAAAAUGACCCUUCAAAAUACAAAACAUAUACUAUAGCAUUGUAACUUGAAUUUCUUCUUAUUUUUGACUACCCUGUAAUAUAUGUGUAGUCUAAAAAAGUGACCUACAUGUUGAAUUUUUUCAUUAUUUUUUUCAUACAUGUUUAGCACGUUAAAAUAUAGUUUUACAUAAAAAAUUAAAUUUCUUCGACCAGGGAUAAAUUAAUUAUGAAUUUUUAUUCCCACAUAAUUAUGAAUUUCUUAAACAAUUUAUAAUUAAUUUGUAUAUCGUUUAAAGACUACAAAAUUUCAUUGUGAAGGUUCUUAUCAUGUUCUAGUCAUGCCUACAAAAUUAGGGAACUAAACUUGACUUGUUAGUAUACGCUUACACGGAACAAAAUUUCAAUUUUGCACGUUUUGGUAUUCGAUUUAUAGGUCGAGAUUUCCUUUGUUUUGUUUUUUUUUUAGCUUUUGACACUUUAAAAGUUCAUAAUUAAUUUGUCGUUUGUCGAAAAUUUAUAAAUUUUUUGUGUAAAGCCAUAUUUUAACGUUCUUAAAUCACCUCUAACAAAUCAUGAAAAAAAUAAUCUAUCGGUUGCUUUUUUGGACUUCGCGUAUAUUACAGGGUUAUAAAUAAUAAAAAUAUCGAAUUACAUGGUCAGAAUAUAUGUUAUUUAAUUAUAGGGUCAAUUUUCAGACUUCACGUAUAUUACAUGGUCAAUUUCAAUUAAUAAUCAUAUUUUAAAUUGUACUUUUGUUGACAAAAUGAUAAACCUCUUUUAUUUCGAUUUUUUAAUUAAAAUUAAAAUUAAAAAAAAAAUCGAUUUAUGAAUGUUGAUAUAUUAUAUCACAUGUGAAUUUGAGAAUUUUUUUUUGCCCGGGCUCCAUAAAUUUCCUGACUCCGCCACUGGUUGCCAUUAUAAAAAUCUCGAAAACAGUUAUAUUGCGACGUAGUUUAGAACUAUGACUUCAAGUACAAAAAAUCUUCUUUAGUAAUUAGAGUGAUAGUAAUAAAAAUAAGGAGUAAUAUGGUGAAUCUAAACAAUGAAAAAAGAAUCUAGUGUCCCAAAAAUAGCCAAUAUGUUAUGUGUUAAAAGUUAUAAGUCUCGCAUAUAUAGAAUAGUUUUAUGAGCUUAUCACAUCAAACAUACUUCAAUUUCUAGAAGUCUUUGACAAUGAAGUUAGAAUUCUAGGCAAAGCCAGACACCAAAGUUUGACAGCAUUGAAAGAUUACUAUUGGACACCACAACUACAACUUUUAGUAUCUGAAUUUGCUCCAAAUGGUAACUUGCAAUCCAAGUUACAUGAAAAGCUUCCUUCAAAUCCUUCACUUUCUUGCACACCAAACAAUAAUUUACUACAACAAUUGCGGUUGUGUUGCCAUUAUAAAAAUCUCGAAAACAGUUAUAUUGCAACGUAGUUUAGAACUAUGACUUCAAGUACAUAAAAUCUUCUUUAGUAUCAAGAUUAUUAUUGUCUUUUAUUUUAUUUUUUCCCUUCAUGUCGUGUAUCCUUUUUACCAUUGAAAUUGACAUAAUUAAUCAUUUUUGUAAAAAUUGUACACAAACCUAAAACAACGGUUAUUUUAAAAUAGAGGAAGUAUUUUAUUUUCAAGAUAUACAUUUACAUUUUUAUCUAACAUUAAAAAAUGGAUGUUUAUUGAUAAAAGGGAAAAUGAGAGUUAAAUGUAGAAAAAGUGCGGGGUGAUUAAAAUAAAAUAAAAUUGAGGAAAACAAAAAAAGAAAUGAAAAGAAAAGAAAAGGAGAAUUGAAAACGUAACAAGUAACAACACACUCAUUCCUCUCAGUCUCUCACUCACUCACACACACUCGUUCCUCUCAGUCUCUCACUUGUUCUCUCUUUCCCUCAAACCCUAACUUGUUGAACAUGGCUGAAGAAGAAGAAGACGGUGAAGAUCGCAUCAGUUCCUUAUCAGAUGAUUUGCUUGUUCGUAUUCUGUCAAACCUUCACACUCGCGAAUCUGUAAGCACUUGUGUUCUGUCAAAGAGAUGGGUUCACGUUUUCAAAGCUCUUACUUGUCUGAGAUUAGAUGAUGAAAAUGGUUCAUUGCUUGAUGCUUUGGAUGAGAUGAGACAUCGAACUGACCUGACGAGUUUCGAUUUGAGCAUUUUUACUCGGCGAAGUGGAGAUAUCGUCACGGUUGCUGAAAAAGCUGUUCGUAACAUAGUGCGUUUGAAUCUUAGCUUGAACUCUCUCUCAAUCUAUGGUAUAUUGAAUAUGUAUCUUACUCGUCCUGUCUUCAAUUCCCGUACUUUGGUGGAGUUGAAACUUCACCGUGUAUGUAUAGCUGAGACUCUAUCCGUUGCCUCUUUGCCUUCACUAAAGGUGCUUUCUCUGUCUCGGGUUCAAUUUGACACCAAAUCGGUUUUCCUUUCUCUGCUAUCUGCUGUGUCGAGGGUUUUGGAGGAAUUGCGGAUUUCGUCUCCCACUUUUUCGGCUCCGAUCUGCGACCGUGAAGCUGACCUUUUUCCUUGUCUCCGUGGUGCCUUUCUACACAAGCUACCUUGGGAAAUGCUUGUCUUGUUCAUCAGUGUUUCACAUCUCCUAACAACCCUUGAGUUUACUCCUAUGGUAAUCUAUCAUUAAUCAUUACAUCAUGUAUAUCCUAAUUUAAUAUGUCUAUGUUAUAUACUAUACUCCCGUGUUUCACUUAUAUUUAUAUAUGCUAAUUAAGUUAAAUGAGAAUUUAAUCCGAAUAAUAUAUAUUGGUUUUGUGAUGGUGUGUCAUUAUGCGUGUAGAACUCAAUUUAGGAUUGUGUGUGUAGUACUCAAUUUAGGCGAGGCCGACAUUAAUUUGAUGCAAUGAUAAGAGAGUUAGUGUUUUAGUGACAUUGUCGAAUUUGGGAUUUUGACAGCUGCAAACUUGCAGUUUAGAAUGUAGAUUCUAAAUUUAGGAUCAUGUUUUGACAGUUGCCAUUUGUCUCAUUUCAGAAACUGAUUCUGUUUUGCUAAUCGUAUUUCCACUUGUGCUAUUAUGAAUCAUAACAUUCCCCAUUAAAUUUCAUUUCUUCAUGUUCCUUUCGUUUCUUUUAAAGAAACUCUAGAUUAACAUGUCUCUCUAAUACUCUUCCGAAAUUCACAUUUCUCUUAUCGGGUGAAAUUCAUGUGGAUCCCACUAUUUUAGAAAUGUUCCCCACUUAAAGUGAUCAGACCGACAUUAAUUUGAUCCGAUAAGAGAGUUGGUGUUGGACUUUGGAAAGAGAGGUUAGACUAAGUGUUACUAGCACUACUCUUAACAUGUUUGCGCAUUGGACAUGUCAAAUUUGGAAUUUUUACAAGUUCAAACUUACAAUUUAGAAUGUAGAUUCUAAAUGGAAUUUUUACAAGUUCAAACUUACAAUUUAGAAUGUAGAAGAUUCUAAAUGGAAAUACAAGGUUUCACUUGUAUACAAUUUUAUUGAAUUUGUGUUUAGGUGUGAGAUUUGAGACCAUGACAUUUACCUAGUGCUAGACUAACUUCUAUGGCAUUUAUAAUAGUCAUGUUGAGCUGGUUUUGGAGAUGCUAUACUAUCUCUUGUGCUAGUUGAUGUGAGUCAAAAUGAAAGAACAUGUUAACUUUGAAUUAGUAGGAUGAGAAGGCGAUUAAUGUGCUUGUAGUGAGUCAGAAUGGAAGGACCUUUUAAUUAACAUUGGAAUUUCUUUUCUUUAGUUGUGGAUGAUAAAAUCUUGAAUAUGAUUAUAAAUUCAAAUUUUUAUGAAAAAUUAAUAUUACAAUUACGGUCUUCCCCUUUGGCCAGUGUAUCAUGAAUUAUGGUGUGGUGCGAUGCCCUGUACAAGUAUGUGAUACAUUAGGGUCAAAAUUUGUGUAGAAUUGGAUUUUUAUGCAUAAGCUGAAAAUAUAGUAUGAAGCAUUGAAUGAAUAUCAUGACUAGGACAAUUAGUAUGUCUUAUAAAACGAGGGGGAUAAUGUCAAUAACUUUGACACAUGACAGUGGUUGAAUUUUUGCAAGAAAUGCUAAGAGAGAGUACGGUGAGAAACUGAGGAAUAUGAAAAUUUCUCAAGCCCUUUGAGAAAAUUUCACAAAAGGGGUGUUAUGAGGGACGUAGUCUGCUGUUGGAAAGGAAUAAGCUACUCCAUUCUCUGUUUGAAACCAAAGUUCUGAAUCUAAGAGAUGCACAAUGUUUUCUAUUUCUCGCACUCGUAAAGUUGAACAGUUUUUAGCAUCUCGGGUUGCACAUGCUUGCUGCCCAACGUGAGGCGUAAAGGAUUAUGGAUUAGAGGGAUUCAUGUUUUAUUUCUUUUUGUUUACGGGCACUAAGCAUUAUUUUAUCAAUUAAUUUCUGACCGUUCUUGUCCAAUAUGAUUUAUUGUUUUUCGAUUAUUUCAAUUUAGUGCCUUGUGUGUUUGCUGGUUGCGAGAUACAAAACAGCCUUAUGGUGUGAUAUCUUACGUCGUAUGCUUGUGGUUCAGCAUUCUGUAACGGUUCAGAUAUCUUACACCAAUAACAAAAUGAGUCUCAAACACUAUUCACUAGUAUAAAUGAUUAGAACAAGGAAAAAAUGGCUGAAUUGAGAAAUACAAAUACUGAUGACCAAUGUAAUAGUAGAAUUUAUGGAAGGGAAAAAUACUGAAAGUAAGAUAGAGAGCCUAUGAUUGCCAAUCCUCACUCCUUUAAUAUCAGUCAAAAGGGAAUAUUAUGCGUGUAGAACUCAAUUUAGGCGAGCCGACGCUAAUUUGAUGCGAUGAUAAGAGAGUUAGUGUCUUAGUGACAUUGUCGAAUUUGGGAUUCUGACUGACAGGUGCAAACUUGCAGUUUAGAAUGUAGAUUCUAAAUUUAGGAUCGUGUUUUGACGGUUGCCAUUUGUCUAAUUGCAGAAACUGAUUCUGUUUUGCUAAUCGUAUUUCCACUUGUGCUAUUAUGAAUCGUAACAUUCCCCAUUAGAUUUCAUUUCUUCACGGUCCUUUCUGUUCUUUUGAAGAAACACUAGAUUAACAUGUCUCUCUACUACUCUUCCGAAAUUCACAUUUCUCUUAUCGGGUGAAAUUCAUGUGGAUCCCACAAUUUUAGAAAUGUUCCCCACUUAAAGUGAUCAGACCGACAUUAAUUUGAUCCGAUAAGAGAGUUAGUGUUGGAAUUUGGAAAGAGAGGUUAGACUAAGUGUUACUAGCAUUACUCUCAACAUGUUUGCGCAUUGGACAUGUCAAAUUUGGGUUUUUGACAGGUUCAAACUUACAAUUUAGAAUGUUGAUUUUAAAUGGAAAUACAAGGUUUCCCUUGUAUACAGUUUUAUUGAAUUUGUGUUUAGGUGUCAGAUUUGAGACUAACCUCUGACAUUUACCUAGUGCUAGACUGACUUCUAUGGCAUUUAUCUUAGUCAUGUUGAGCUGGUUUUGGAGAUGCUAUACUAUCUCUUGCGCUAGUUGAUGUGAGUCAAAAUGAAAGAACAUGUUAACUAUGAAUUAGUAGGAUGAGAAGGCGAUUUAUGUGUUUGUAGUGAGUCAGAAUGGAAGGACCUUUUAAUUAACAUUAGAAUUCUUUUCUUUAGUUGAGGAUGAUAAAAUCUUGAAUAUGAUUAUAAAUCAAAUAUUUAUGAAUAAUUAAUAUCAGAAUUACUGUCUUUCCCUUAGCCAGUGUAUCAUGAAUUAUGGUGUGGUGUGAUGCCUGAUACCUGUACAAGUAUGUGAUACAUUAGGGUCAAAACUUGUGUAGAAUUGAAUUUUUAUGCAUAAGCUGAAAAUAUAGUAUGAAGCAGUGAAUAAAUAUCAUGACUAAGACCAUUAGUAUGUCUUAUAAAACGAUGUGGGUAAUGUCAAUAACUUUGAUACAUGACAGUGUUUACAUUUUUGCAAGAAAAGCUAUGAGAGAGUAUGGUGAGAAACUGAGGAAUUUGAAAAUUUCUCAAGCCCUUUGAGAAAAUUUCACAGAAAGGGUUUCAUGAGGGACAUAGUCUGCUGUUGGAAAGGAAUAAGCUACUCCAUUCUCUGUUUGAAACCAAAGUUCUGAAUCUAAGAGCUCUUACUCGUAUAGUUGAACAUUUUUUAACAUCUUGAGGCGUAAAGGAUUACGGAUUAGAGGGAUUCAUGUUUUAUUUCUUUUGUCAUCUGAAGAGUGUUCUAUCUUGUAAUUUUUUUGAACCAGUGUCUGUUUUGUACUUAUUUCUGGAGUUCAACAUGUAUCCCACAUUAUCGAUAAUUGACAAAGUGUUUAGCUUGUUUAUAAUGCUUGUUUAAAUGUGUUAUCUGCUUUCAUACACUUUAUAAACACGCAACCAAACAUAAUAAGGAUGAAGAGAAAAUAAUUCAGCUCCAUUUGUGUUCUUCCAUGCUUGUACUGUAUAUGAGAGUAGGCUUGUUUGUAAAAUGUUCCUUGUUCUUGCUUUAAGUUUGUUAUUGUUGGUUAAUGAUAAAAAUCAGUACUCACUUUUCCUUUUUAUUAAUGAGUGGUAAUCUAUUUUCACUAAUGUUAAUUAUUACAUUAUGUAUUUUCACUUAUGUUAGCCAUUACAUUAUAUUAUGUAAUUACUAUUAUAUGUGCUCAUCACUACCUAGCAGUACUCAACCUGUAUUUUUUGAAUUAGAGAAGUUCUUGCGAUAUAAUAUCUUCUAAUUUUUGGCCUCCAAUUCAUGUCUGCAGAUAAGAUUAUUUUAUUGAUCAUUUGAUCAUUUUUUGAAUUUCAGAUAUUGUGAAAAAAUUGAUGUAUUUAUGUUAUGUUUCAAAUUUUUGUUCUCACUACUCAUCCUUAAUAUUAUACUUAAGUUCAUUAAUAUCAUUUCUUAGAUGAAAAUGCCGAUACAUAAUCUUCAAUUAGAUUUUGUGUACUUCUCUUUCAGAAAAGGAAAGUAGAAACAAAUCAAAUCAGUUUUAAAAUUUUGAUAGCUUAUUUAUGUAGAAGCCUGAACAAUUUUAUUUUUUUUAAUUAUAUUCUGCUUUAAUGAUUUUGUGACAGGAUUCUAGGCAGAUGGAAGAAGGAGAGGAAAAUGUGGACAAUUGGAUCAAUCCAAUAAUUGUUCCAGUGUGCUUAACCAAUCAGCUCAAAUCAUGCCUUCUUCACGGUUACAAAAGCACAACAUGUCAGGACCGCUUUGUGAGAUAUGUUAUGCUUAAUUCCAACAUCUUGAAGACCAUUUCUAUAAAAUGUCUUCCUUCUACCGAUACAACCGUCAAGUACAGAUGGUUAAAGAAACUAGCUUCUUGGAGGAGGUCAUCCACUACCUCGCUUCUCUUUGAUUGAUGAUUGAUACAGUUUGUAGUUGAUCUAUGCUGGGGCGAUUGUUGAUUACUCGAGAUUUGGUUUGGUGGUUUGUAGUAGAUUCUAUGGUAUUCUGAAACUUUGGUGUCAAGUUUAAGUAGCUAAUCGCAUUAUGGAACUUCGGUGUCGAGUUUAAGUAGAAAACUGGUUUUCAUUUCUUCUCUUUUUGGAUCAAAUGCUUAUUUGUUGAAUAUGUAGUCGUGUUUUUUUAUUUUUAUCUGUAUGCUUAUACCACGUGAGAUAGGCUUCUUAGCUAGGUAUUAGGGAUUUAUUAUCAAUUAGCAACCGUGUGUGAGAUUAGAUUCUUGCAUUCAACCUAAUUAUGUACUCAGUAUCCCAAAAAGAAGGCCACAAACUGACUGUUCCUAUUAACACCAAUAAUUUGGUGCAGCUAGAAUCCCUAACAAGGAUCAUAAGUCCUCCUAUCAGCCUUAUGUCCAAAGCAGUCUGCACCAGAAAAUCCCAGCAGUCUUACUACCUUCUGUUUUCCUUUACAUGGGAAUAACAACCAUACUUUUAGAUUCUUUUAAGUACCCAAUUAUUCUUUUGGCAUCCAUCAGGUGAGACCUUCUUGUUAGUCUGCACCACAAACUCCAUGCUUGCCCCAAAAGUAAGCCAAUCUAUGUAGGUCCAUACAAAGCCUCAUUCAAUUUGUACACCGUGUAUUUCCUUAUUUAAAAACUAAUCCACUCCUUCAAGUAGUACAUAAUGUUAAAAUAACAAGAAAUUAGCCAAGCAUAUUUCUACCCUUCGACUAAUUAGGAGGAUAUCUUGAAAGUUCAAUAAGCUUUUCUCACUUAAUAAAGAGUUAAUGUAAGACAAAACCUUACCUAAACACCUUUAAAUGAAUGUGAUUUUAGAUACCAAAGUUGUAAAGGAAAAAAUUGUAGGAGUAUACACUUUUAUGCUACAGUCUUCUUUAGGCUGUCGCAGUGUCAUGUCAUGGCUUUACCUUCUGCUUGAGUUUGUAAUUUCUCAACAAGAGGAUCCAAAUAGUACAAAAUUUUAUUUCAAAGGAUUCUAAGAUGUGAGGAAGACCAUGAAUCCCAACGUGUUUUGGGAGUUUUCAACAUUAAUUAAUUAGGAAAGAAUGUAAGAAGGGCAAGAGUACCAUAUACCAUCAAUGGAUCAAUAUAGUGAAAAGAAGAAAACCAUUUCAUACUUUUUAUAUUUUGGAAAAACAUUAGAACCUGUCUCCACGAGAGCGUAACUCAUUUUGGAUAAUACAUAAUAUGUGCAGGGGUUAGAGUUCAAACCUCAGACACUCCACUUAUUCAUCCAUAAAUAAAAUAAAUCUCCCUUAUCCAACGAUCUCCUUUUGUGGGGAUCACAUUAAUUAGCCAUAGGUGAGUUGAGGGAUGUGUUUGUGACGGUUAAAACUUAUGGGACCAAAUUGAAUAAAAGAAAUAAGUUAAGGGACCGGCAGAUCAAUUAAGCUUUAUUUUAAUGUAAAAAAUAAAAUAAAAAGGGUGCUACAUUUUUUUUUUACCUUGAUAAAGAUGAUGUCAUAAACUUUUAUUAGAAUACUUGCGCUAUAGGAAAUAUGAUCAGUACUUAAGUCGUGCAUUUGAAAUUGCAACUUGCAAGUCACUGACUUGUUUAACCAAAAACAACCCAAAUUUUAAUGAACAAAUUAACUGAUACAAGGAUGCACAAAAGGGAGAAAACCGGUGGAAGAUAAAGAAUCUAUGGAUAAUUAAGUCGUGCUCAGGUGGACUUUGCAACAAUUAGUUUUCAGUGCUUAGAGAGUACCUACGUAAGUAAAACAGUGACUUUUAUCAUAUGUGAUUCGCUUUAACAUAUUUAAGUUGUCGAAAUAAAUUUUUAUUUUUAUUUUCAUUGAUUCAUGUUCUCUCAAUCACAAUAAUCAUAAAAUCUCAAAAAACAAAAAAUUAUUUUAUUUUGGAAUUAUUAUGGAAUCAUUAAUAUUUAUUUUAUUUAGUUUAUUUAACAAAAAAAAAUUAUAUAAAAUCUCUGGUCCAUACUAUUUGAGUCAUUGAGAUUUGUUCAUUUUUUCAAAAUGUUGAUGAUUUGAAUUUCAUAUAUGGAUCAUUUCCAGAGUAUAUAAUUCGAAAAGUGUAAAUCACCCCGUAUAAAAAGACGGCGUGGACAACCUUUUUGUUGUUCAUGUAACAUUUGCCAAUUUAAUAAUCCCUCAUCUCCUUACAAGAAUCAAACAUAUACGUAAUUAACACAUCAAAUAACACUUCUCUAGCAUACUUUUUUUGAGUAGUCACAAACUCCAUGCUUGCCCCAAAAUGUUACCGCACUGUUACGAAACCAUUUGUUAUCUAAUAUCUGGCUCUCAAACGUUGACAGAAUCAUUUAUUUAAAAACUAAUCCACUCCUUCAAGUAGGACAACCCCCAAACUUAUACUGUCAAAACCUAUGAAGUAUGGAUACAGACACGAACACUGAUACAACUAAUAAUUUGAAAAAAUCAUGUAAUUCAGUGUAAUUACAAGUGUUGGUGUCGUGUCGAUCGGACACAACACAUGUCCGACAUUGACACACGCCUAAUCCAAGGAGUGUCUAUGGUUCAACUAAAUCAAACUCAAAGCUCUUCUAAUACACAAACCAGCUACCAUAUGAAGUCUGUCUAAUCAUGAAUCCUAAUACAAGCUAAACUUCAACCAUUCCAAUAUAAACUCAAAUAUAAUUUGAUCAUCUUAAGUAAGAUCUUUAAAACUUGCCCACAACACACCAAGAUUAAAGAAGCACUUUUAUUCGACUACUACGUUGAUUGCAAAAUAUGCUCUCUUGACAGUAAUUCAUAAAUUUAAGCAACUUUCCAACAUUCAUAUGUUAUUUAUGUCAUUGUACUAACUUCUUCACAGUAUCUUAAAAUUCAUUCAUUCUUGAAUAAAAGCUCACAGUCUAAUGUCACUACUGCUCGUUCUUGACAGGUCUACACAAUUUCCGCUCCACAGCUCCAUAACCUACAUUCACCUCUAUUCAUACGCACUUUGUUUUCUUUAUUUACUUGUCCAAACAGUCCUUACAUAUGUGCUUCUGAUCUACACCUCAACUCCUACACACCCCAGUAUUAUCCUUUCAUGCAUGUGGAAACAAAAUGCAGACUGGAGUAUUCAUACAGGAAUUGCAGAUUUGCACUAGUUUGAAUAAUGCCUUCUUUCACCUCUGUCUUAUAUCAUAUCCAAAUACCAUAAUAAUUUUGAGAUUCAACCUGCUCCGAACCAUCAGUUUUACCUUUUUUCACACGCCUCUCAACUUCCGCAUCUUGAUUUUGGAUACUUCCAUAUUACGAAGCCAUCACCUGUUGCUCUGCUCCAUUGUCUUUCCACCGUUUACCUAUCCUGCAAACUGUUUUAUCAUUUCAUUACAAUCAUUUGAAAGUGAAGACUCAAUUCCAAGCCAAUGCAGUUGCUCUAUUUAUGCAUCCGAGUGUACAGACUUACAUAUUCCAUCCUAAUUUGUGCAUGAUAUCAUCUCUAACGCUUCUCUCUUAUCCUAACACUCAGAAGCUAGCAGUAUUCAUACUCAUGCAAAGUUGGGCAUGGUGGAUAUCUAUUUAGUUAGCAUUCACCAUCUUGAGGGAUGUUCAUUUUUUGCCGUAGAAGAAAGAGGAGGAGGAUAUUGCCGCUUACCUCACUCUAUGCCACAUCCUAACAUAAAUUUCCAAAGGGAUGGGAUACAAAGUUUGAGCCCAGAAUUGGGUCCGAACAAAAAUUGUCCAAUUGCUUGAAUUAUGAUAAAAUCCAAAUUAUCUAACUAAUGAAUUAGAAUCAAAUUUUUGUCGCAAUUUUUUUCCAUUUGUAUUUUCCAUGUUUUCAUGUAAAUAAAUCAACAAUUAUGUUGUAGCACAGUAAGAGUGAGAAAGAGUAUUAUCUGUUCUCCAAAUAAAAUAAACCCUAACGCUAAAUAUUAUAACAUGAAAUCGUUUACUCGUUAAAAUCAUGUAGAAUAGAUACACACAAAGAAGAUCAAGUAGCACAAUCAAUAAUUAAUAUUGGGAAAAAGAGAUUACAAUAAAUAAUCAUCAUAAGCAUACAUAGCAAUAGCAGCAGUGUCAUUCUUUGAUCCAUUCAAAAUGAAGUUGGGAACGGAAGCCUCUUGUAAUUCUUUGAUGAUUUGGAGGUCCUUGGAUGGAUUUGAAGAGUAGAUGGUGACGUUGCGCAAGAGAGUUGCAUUUUGGACAACAUAUUUGGUGAAUUGAAGCUCGCUUAGGUUGCCUCCGUAAUUAAUAAAAGAGAACAUUUGUAGAUGUAAUGAAAUGCAUUGAGGGACAAACUACGGCCAAUUAUUAUUGUGAUCAUCAUAGUCUCCUCCAAUAUUGUGAAUGGUGAGAGUUUGAAGAGAGGGGCAGGCACAGAUGAAUUUCAUUAGGGAAAUCCAAUAAUAUCCGUCAUGAAAGAUAAGGUCCAUGUGAGUUAAAUUGAGAAAUUGAGUGGUUGAAAAAUCUUGUUCUAGUGUUUGUAGCAGCACUUGUGACCGUAGAAACUGGACAUUGUAAAAGAGUUUCAAGGGCAGCAAAAACGCAGAAAUAGAAGACUCAGAAACGUCGGCUCGGAGCAAUUUAGGGAAGGGUUUCAAAGCAGCAGCAUCAUCAUGAGCAAGAGUAUUGUCGGUAACUUGUAAAUCUUUCAAGAGCAGAUCCUCAAGAAGCGGAGACAUAGAGAGAAUCUUGAUAAGAAAUUUAAGCUUUAGAAAAUGCACUUGGGUCAAGUGAAGGAUUUUAAGGGAAGGCAAAUUAGUAGAAGAUCUAUGAACAUAGUCUAUAGUCAAGGCAUUCAACUUCAAAACAACGAGAGCUGUGGAAUUUAGAACCUUAUAUGGUACACAAAGGCAAAGGGUGGCGGAAGAAGUUACAUCGAGAUGUUGAACUUGAAGACAACCAAGCCAUAAAGGUAACGGAUUAAAGAAGGGAGAUGCAGAGAGAAUAGUAACCGUUUUCAUGAUAGGAUGAUGGAUUUUCAUUUCAAACAAAAACAAGGCGAUGACAUGAUAAUAUCUGUCAUAAGCGUCGCGGUCAUGGAUAUAGCUAGUGUCAUCAAUGUUGAUUUCCGUCAUUCUUGGACGGAGUGAUCUCCAGCGCCUUGAGAGAAGGGAUGUGACCAUGAUUUGUUUUGCAGGCAAAAGAGAUAGGAUGCGACAUAGCAGUUCAUCAGGUAAAAUACUGAUUCUAUCUGCAUUUGGCAUCCCUAGCCAGACUCGCCUCCAUCGCUUUGAGAGAAGGCUUGUGCUCGGGAAUUCCUCUGAGGGUAAAAAUGACAGGAUUUCACAUAGCAAUUCAUCGGGUAAACCACUCAUCCUAUCUUCUUCUGCCAUCAUAGUUUGAUUAAUUGAUCAAAGAACAAAACAAAAGAAGGAAUAAAACUUUGUUUGUUACCUUUGGGAUUGGGAUUGGGAUUAGGAUUGCGAUUGCUAUGCUGGCUAGGGUUAAAGGAAGGAAGUCGAGGAAGAAGAAGAGGAAUGAUUGACUUUGUUAUGUAUUUCUGGAUUUAUUGGCCUUUUACUAUUUUAUUUCUCUCUUGGGACGGGCCUGUGGCCUAUACAAUCUUGGAAGAUUUCUUUUUAGAAAAUUGUUGUUCCCACUUGAAACAAGCUAGAAAAUACCAAUAAAUGACCUAAAUAUCCUUUGGUAGUUAACUUGCGGUUGUUACUGCCGUGCUGCGGAGUUAAUUAGUAGUUAACUGCCUAUGCGAUUUCUGCUACAAAUCUCAGGCAGAACCAUUACUCUCUCAUCCAUUGUCACUCUCAACUCAAAAUUUCUCUCAAAAUCUCAUCUAAAUUUAUUCAACAGAAUCACAAGUAAGUAAUCAUGGUGUUAUUAACCCAAAUUCUAGUUGUUAUAAUUGUUUUUCAUUUUUUUUUAAUUUUAGUUUUAGGUUAAUUUAAAUUUUGUUGUUUUUAUUUUAAAAAAAAAAAAACAAUCAAAUGUUUACAAGUAAGAUAUUAUGAUUCAUUUUUAGAGUAGAUUUAAGUUGAUUAAGUAUGUUUGCAAGUUUAUGUUGUAGUUUUGAGUUUUAGUGUUUAUGUAUAAUUUGCACUCCAAGUGUUUAAUGAAAUGUUUGAAUGAGUUUUUCAUUAAUUGUUUAAUUUCUUAUGGUGUAGAUCUGAAACAACGGACAAUUUGUUCAGUGCUCAAGUACGCUUCAACGGUGGAAACCCUUAUUUGUCCAAGGUCCGGGUCAAUGUCACGCUAAAGGAUCUGAAGGAACAACUGAAUGAAAUCAAUCAAGGCCUCAACCCUGGAGACGCAAGGAGGGUGGAGGACCUUUAGUAUGCAUGUCCCGGUUAUUUGCAAUCAGAAAAGAUAAUAUGCAAGUGCUUUGAUUUUAAAUUGUUUUUCUUUUCUUCUCUUUUUUGAUCAAAUGCUUGUUUGUUGAAUAUGUAGUAUGUUUUUUAUUCUUAAUUGUAUGCAUCUACCAUGUGAUAGGCUUCUUAGCUAGGUAUGGGGGAUUUAUUAUCAAUUAGCAACCGUGUGUGAGAUGAGAUUAAAUUCUUGCAAUCGACCUAAUUAUGUACUCAGUCUCCCAAAAAGAGAAGGCCACAACUGACUGUUUCUUUGAACACCAAUAAUUUGGUGCAGCUAACAAGGAUCAUAAGUCAUCCUAUCAACCUUAUGUCCAAAGCAGUCUGCACCAGAAAAUUCCAGCAAGCUUACAACCAUAAAUUUAGAUUCAUUUUAAGUACCCUUGUUUCUCUUUUGGCAUCCAUCAGUUGAGACCUUCUAUUGAUUUAUCCAACUGUAAAACAAAUAUAAAGUUUGUUUAUUGUAUAGGUACCUUGUAGAGCCAACUACUUUCUUGACAAUGUUGAAACCACCUUCUCUUUAAUUGUCUUUUCAAGGUUCAUGUACACAUCAAAUAAAAUUUUGUCAACACUUCUCAAGCAUAAUUCUUUUGAUGUUACCACGCUAUUAGGAAAUCAUUUGUAAUCUAAAUAUCUGGCUCUCAACUGUAGUUCUCUUUAAAUGAAUGUGAAAUGGUGUUUUCUCCCAACUAAUAUGAAUGAUAUGAUACAAGCUUAAACUUAGAAGACCACAAAAUACAUUUGUCUUUUUAAUACAACCACAUCUCUUAAUAAAAAAAGAGACAACGUUGACAGAAUCAUUUAUUUAAAAACAAAUCCACUCCUUCAAGUAGUACAUCCCCCAAAUCAAACAAGUACUGUCAAAAGUAAAUCAAACUCAAAGCUCUUCUAAUCAUGAAUACUAAUACCAUUUAAACUUUAACCAUUCCAAUAUAAAAUUUAAGCACUUUUAUUCAACUACUACGUUCAUUGCAAAAUAUGCUCUCUUGACAGUUAUUCAUGUCAUUGUACUAACUUCUUCACAGUAUCUUAAAAUUCAUUCAUUCUUGAAUAAAACCUCACAUUCUAAUGUCACUACUGCUCAUUCUUGACAGGUCUACACAAUUUUUACUCCACAGCUCCAUAGCCUCCAUUCACCUCUAUUCAUACGCACUUUGUUUUCUUUAUUUACUUGUCCAAACAGUCCUUACAUAUGUGCUUCUGAUCUACACCUCAACUCCUAUACAUCCCAGUAUUAUCCUUUCAUGCAUGUGGAAACAAAAGGCAGACUAGAGUAUUCAUACAGGAAUUGCAUAUUUGCACUAGUUUGAUUAAUGCCUUCUUUCACCUCUGAAAUCCCAUAAUAAUUUUGACAUUCAACCAGCUCUGCACCAUCAGUUUUACCUUUUUUGUCACGCCUCUCAACUUCCGCAUCUUGAUUUCGGAUAAUCAUGUUAUUCCUUGCCUUCCAUAUAAUGAAGUCAUCCCCCGUUGCUCUGCUCCAUUGUCUUUCCAUCGUUUACCAAUCCUGCAAACUGUUUUAUCAUUUCAUUACAAUCAUUUGAAAGUGAAGACUCAAUUCCAAGCCAAUGCAGUUGCUCUAUUUAUGCAUCCGAGUGUACAGACUUACAUAUUCCAUCCUAAUAUCAUCUCUAACAACCUAAACUAUCCUCUCACUAACUAACUGCCUAAUUUCCCUUCUCUCUAAUCCUAAAACUAAGCAGCUAGCAGUAUUCAUACCUAACUUGUACACAAGUUGGGCAUGGUGGAUAUCUAUUUAGUUAGCAUUCACCAUCUUGAGGGAUGUUCAUUUUUUGCCGUAGAAGAAAGAGGAGGAGGAUAUUGCCGCUUACCUCACUCUAUGCCACAUCCUAACAUAAAUUUCCAAAGGGAUGGGAUACAAAGUUUGAGCCCAGAAUUGGGUCCGAACAAAAAUUGUCCAAUUGCUAGAAUUAUGAUAAAAUCCAAAUUAUCUAACUAAUGAAUUAGAAUCAAAUUUUUGUCGCAAUUUUUUUCCAUUUGUAUUUUCCAUGUUUUCAUGUAGAUAAAUCAACAAUUAUGUUGUAGCACAGUAAGAGUGAGAAAGAGUAUUAUCUGUUCUCCAAAUAAAAUAAACCCUAUCGCUAAAUAUUAUAACAUGAAAUCGUUUACUCCUUAAAAUCCUGUAGAAUAGAUACACACAAAGAAGAUCAAGUAGCACAAUCAAAUAAUUAAUAUUGGGAAAAAGAGCAGCAGUGUCAUUCUUUGAUCCAUUCAAAAUGAAGUUGGUGGGGAAUGGAAUCCUCGAGUAAUUCUUUGAUGAUUUGGAGGUCCUUGGGUGGAUUUGAAGAGGUAUUUGUGUAGAUGGUGACGUUGCGCAAGAGAGUUGCAUUUUGGACAACAUAUUUGGUGAAUUGAAGCUCGCUUAGGUUGCCUCCGUAAUUAAUAAAAGAGAACAUUUGUAGAUGUGAUGAAAUGCAUUGGGGGACAAAGUGUGGAUGCGGCCAAUUAUUAUUGUGAUCAUCAUAGCCUCCUCCAAUCUUGCCGCGAAUGAUGAGAGUUUGAAGAGAGGGGCAGGCACAGAUGAAUUUCAUUACGGAAAUCCAAUAAUAUCCGUCAUGAAAGAUAAGGUCCAUGUGAGUUAAAUUGAGAAAUUGAGUGGUUGAAAAAUCUUGUUCUAGUGUUUGUAGCAGCACUUGUGACCGUAGAAACUGGACAUUGUAAAAGAGUUUCAGGGGCAGCAAAAAAGCAGAAAUAGAAGACUCAGAAACGUCGGCUCUGAGCAAUUUAGGGAAGGGUUUCAAUGCAGCAGCAUCAUCAUGAGCAAGAGUGUUGUCUGUAACUUGUAAAUCUUUCAAGAGCAGAUCCUCAAGAAGCAGAGACAUAGAGAGAAUCUUGAUGAGAAAUUUAAGCUUUAGAAAAUGCACUUGGGUCAAGUGAAGGAUUUUAAGGGAAGGCAAAUUAGUAGAAGAUCUAUGAACAUAGUCUAUAGUCAAGGCAUUCAACUUCAAAACAACUAGAGCUGUGGAAGUUAGAACCUUAUAUGGUACACAAAGGCAAAGGGUGGCGGAAGAAGUUACAUCGAGAUGUUGAACUUGAAGAUAAUCAAGCCAUAAAGGUAAGGGAUUAAAGAAGGGAGAUGCAGAGAGAAUAGUAACCGUUUUCAUGAUAGUAUGAUGGAUUUUCAUUUCAAACAAAAACAAGGCGAUGACAUGAUAAUAUCUGUCAUAAGCGUCGCGGUCAUGGAUAUAGCUAGUGUCAUCAAUGUUGAUUUCCGUCAUUCUUGGACGGAGUGAUCUCCAGCGCCUUGAGAGAAGGGAUGUGACCAUGAUUUGUUUUGCAGGCAAAAGAGAUAGGAUGCGACAUAGCAGUUCAUCAGGUAAAAUACUGAUUCUAUCUGCAUUUGGCAUCCCUAGCCAGACUCGCCUCCAUCGCUUUGAGAGAAGGCUUGUGCUCGGGAUUUCCUCUGAGGGUAAAAAUGACAGGAUUUCACAUAGCAAUUCAUCGGGUAAACCACUCAUCCUAUCUUCUUCUGCCAUCAUAGUUUGAUUAAUUGAUCAAAGAACAAAACAAAAGAAGGAAUAAAACUUUGUUUGUUACCUUUGGGAUUGGGAUUGGGAUUAGGAUUGCGAUUGCUAUACUGGCUAGGGUUAAAGGAAGGAAGUCGAGGAAGAAGAAGAGGACUGAUUGACUUUAUUAUGUAUUUCUGGAUUUAUUUAUUGGCCUUUUACUAUUUUAUUUCUCUCUUGAGACGGG